rnacentral:rRNA from 1 species
AUUGAACGCUGGCGGCAUGCUUUACACAUGCAAGUCGGACGGCAGCACAGAGAAGCUUGCUUCUUGGGUGGCGAGUGGCGCACGGGUGAGUAACAUAUCGGAACGUACCGAGCAGUGGGGGAUAACUAAUCGAAAGAUUAGCUAAUACCGCAUAUUUUCUGAGGAAGAAAGCAGGGGACCUUUGGGCCUUGCGCUGUUUGAGCGGCCGAUAUCUGAUUAGCUAGUUGGUGGGGUAAAGGCCUACCAAGGCGACGAUCAGUAGCGGGUCCGCGAGGAGGAUCCGGCCACAUGGGAAUGAGACACGGCCCAGAAUCCCAAGGGAGGGAGCAGGGGGGAAUUUUGGACAAUGGGGGCAAGCCUUAUCCAGCCAUGCCGCGUGUAGGAAGAAGGCCUUUGGGUUGUAAAGGACUUUUGUCAGGGAAGAAAAGGGCGGGGUUAAUACCCCUGUCUGAUGACGGUACCUGAAGAAUAAGGACCGGCUAACUACGGG